CUGGGAAGUUUCACACUGGGGACUCCUUGGUGCUCCUCCGCGCAGGUCAGACUCGGGUCCUGGCUGACCACCUGCUGUCGCCGCUGGGCCGCGCACUUUCGCAGGGGCUCGGAGCGUCUGUCACACGGAAGAAGUUUAAGCAAGAGAAGAUUUUUCUGUUUAUUGUUUUUCAGAGCCCUAGAGUUAUUUGGAAAUACAUAUUAUUGGUGUUUUUAGCUCUCAUCCUGUUGUUUUGAUGUGACAUCAAGAAAAUGUUUGUGAAAGCACUUCUUAAACUGUAAGGGACUGUAUAAAUGUAAGAUUGUUAUGUAGAAGGGGGGAAAAUCAGCUCCUGUGGUGGAGACAGACUUAUAAACGAUUAGUACCAGCAUCACCUGGUAGGUACUGUGGUGGAGAUGAACAAAUGCUGUGGAAUCACAGAGGAAGGGGCAGCUAAUUCUUGGAGAAGCAGGAAAAGCAAGAAUCUUUCAUUAUCUGGGAAUUUGGAUUUGUGAUCUGUUGUCUCUUACAGGCUCUCUUUGCUUAUGGGCAGCUAUUCUGGAAGUUGUCUUUUGGGAGCAUGUAAAUUUAGCAUUUUCUUUCUAAUAGUGAUUUCUUAUGCCGUUUCCUAAAUUAGAAUGUAUCUGACAUCUCGGUCAGAUGUUCUGUCCAUCAUAGCAGUGUCCGACUUCCUUGCCGCACAGGAAAGAACCUUAAGGGAAGUAUGUCUCAACGGAGAGAGUUUAAUACGUCCUUUUUGGGGGUUAUUUCAACCCAGCAGACCGUGAAGCCAAGCGAAGCGGGAGCUUUGUCCCUCCAAGUUCCAAAGGAGCCUGUGGGGCUUGUGAUCCUGAAGGUAGAGGAAGAUAGAACAUAUCUUCAAAGGAAGAAACCCCAUACCAGGGACAUCUUUCGCCAGCAUGUCAGACAGUUUUGUUAUCAAGAGACACCUGGGAGCGGUGAGGCUCUGAGUAGGCUCUGGCAGCUCUGCCAGCUCUGCCACCAGUGGCUGAAGUCUGACAUGCGCACUAAGCAGCAGAUCCUGGAGCUGCUGGUGCUGGAGCAGUUCCUGAGCAUCCUGCCUGAGGAGCUCCAAGCCUGGGUUCAGGAGCAGCAUCCCGAGAGCAGAGAAGAGGUGGUGACAGCGCUGGAGGAUUUAGAGAAAGCGGGAUGAGCAAAGAGAACAGGGGCCCAUCCCUACCCCGUUUUUCCUGGGUUCCUGUUAUACCCAGGAAAUGCCCUGGAAGGAGACAGAACCCAUGGAAACAGCACAGAGGUCGCCAUGUUUCAAGUUCCUGUCCUUGGCAACACAGUUAAAAAGUGAAUCUCCAUAGUCCAGCCAUUGCUUACAAGAGAAGGCCUGUUUCCUGUGGCCCCUCUGAUAACAGCCAAUUUGGUUCCACAUUGAGUUUUGAUUCUUUGUCAACUUUUCAGGGCCACCUAUCACAGAUACUGAAUGUUUGAUCAUGGGACACCAAGUGACUGUGACAUCCAUGCUGCAUGUGGUGGUGGUGGUAGCGCAUUUGUCCAGCCAUAAAGUCAGGUUCCAGGCCAUACAAAAGAACAGAAAGAGCUCGUUGAAGAGACAGAACCCCCAGGAGCAGUCAAAGGAGCAGUCAAACAGUCAGUUCCAGUCCUUUGAGACUCAGCCCAUGAGAGCCUUUCCACAGGAUGGAGAAGGUGAGUUUAGGUUUAGAAAUGUAAAAUUGACUUCAGAGAAGAAAAGUUCUGAAGAAGUAGCAUCUCACUCAUUGUUCCCAGGAAGAUGAAAAGGUGAUGAUCCCCAGAAGCCUACAGUUGAACACACUUGUGACCCUAAGGGCAGCUUUUUCUUCAGAGUCCACUCUUCAUUAAGCAUCCGAGAACACACACUGGAGAGCUCUGUCACUGUAAAGAAUGUGAUGAAAGCUUUAGUCAGAAUGUAGGUCUGACAUCACAUCAAAGGCUGCACACAAGAGAGAGAUCUUAUAGGUGUAAAGAGUUUGGGAACGCCUUGGGAGAGAACUCACACCUCAUUAAACAUCCCAGAAUUCAAAUGGGAGUGAGGAGUGGAGACUUUAUCAGUGUGCUGAAUGUGGGAAAUGCUUUACUGAGAGCAAAGGUCUUGUUUCACAUCAGAAAAUCCACACUGGAGAGAGACCUUAUAAAUAUGAUGAAUGUGGGAAAGCUUUUCGUAAUAACGCAAACUUUUUUAAAUAUUAAAAAAAACAUAUCAGAGAGAGAAAAAGACAUAACUCUGAUGAAUGUGUGUAAAACUUUAGAUUUCCCUUGUGAUUGACAUUUAGACAUGUUGAGGGGAAAUACCAUGAAUAUAAUUGUGAAAUGUUUCAAUGGUAGCUUCUUAUCUCCACUCCAAUGUGUUUUUUCCAACACUACCAAGCAAUUAACUCCAUCCUGACACUAUUUAUCCGGUGAUAGUGUCAGAUCCCACAGGUUUAGGACUCAGUCUCACGAGACUGCACCCCUCCCUAUCCCCCACUUCAGACACCAAUCCAGUUGGUUCUGUUCCCAAACUGCCACAAAGAUCUAAAGAUGUUGGAGCAGAUUCAGAGAAAGGCAGCCAGACUGUACCUCAUCUUUUGUAUGCUUGUACCUGGCAUAGUGCCUGGCGCUUGAGUUCCAUAAAUGUUUAUUCAAAUGAGUUAAGUUAAAAUAAAUUCAAGUGAUAGAUCCCAGAGUUAUAUAGUAUAGUUAUUGAAAUUUACUCUUAAGAAGUGGCAUAAAGGGAAAAUAAAAAUAUUUUAAACACAUUUAGAAAUAUUGGUGGGAUGACUACAGUAGGAGUCUUUGAUCUUUUGAAGGUGUAUAUAUAACUCAUGAAUUGAUGUCUAGGAGAGCAUUGUUCCCUCCCACAAUUUUAGAAUCAUACAAUACUGGGCUGGGAGGACCGUAGCCCUGACCAAGUGGGACUAUUUUUAAGUUAUGCUCUUAAAUUAAAAAAAAAAAAAAAAGGUAACAUCAAUUCUGUAAGUACAAUGUACUUGUUAAUGUAAUUAUUCUGUUCUAUAUAAAACUAUGAUAUAGUGUUAAACUUUUCAAAGUUUCCUUUGUCUAUGAGAUGCAAUCAUUGUACUCAACUUAUUUGUGAAAUGGCCUUUCUUCACUUACUACUGUGGAAACAAACUAAUAUAAACUUCUUUUAAAAGAAACUAAGAAAUAUGAAUCUCCCUUCAAAAAAAGGAAUCAGCUUGGGGCCGGCCCCGUGGCCUGGUGGUUAAGGGCGCGCACUCCACUGCUGGCGGCACGGGUUCGGAUCCAGGGCGUGCACCGAUGCACCGCUUGUCUGGCCAUGCUGAGGCCGCGUCCCACGUGCAGCAACUAGAAGGAUGUGCAGCUACGACAUACAACUAUCUACUGGGGCUUUGGGGGAAAAAUAAAUAAAAUAAAAUUAUAAAAAAAAAAAAGGAAUCAACUUUUAAUUAAAAGGAAACUAUGGAGCAAAUCACUUGAGACUUAAAAUACUUGAUAUAUUCAAGGAAUGAAUAAACUUUAUCUUUGCUAAUUCUUUAUCUGUGCCAAUAUGCAGUGGUUCUCAAGCCAGGGCGUUGCUACCUUCUAAUCCACAUUUGGAAAUAUAUUUGGGAACAUUUUUGAUUGUCACAAUGACUGGGGUGUGCCACUUAUAUUUUGUGGCUGGGGUCCAUAAAUUAUAAACAUUAUAGUUUAUUUUACGGUAUAUAUUAUAGUAUAUAGUAUAGACAGAAUUUAUAGUAUAUACUGUAUUGUGCGAUAUAUUAUAUAAAAUAGAGGAGAAUGUAUUGUAGUAGAGUAUAAAGAAAGAAUUCUUCCAUCAAAAUGCCAAUAAUAUCCCUUUUGGAAAAUGUUAAACUAAAGAAUAUGGAAUAUUUCCAACGCAGGGAAUUAAAUAAAGAAUGUUUGUUACUUAAAUUAAGCUAAGUUACAAAUAAGACUAAACUGUACUUUCUUCUUUAUCAAAAGUGACAUAUUUCUUUUAAUACCAUGUAGUGUGUUAAAUUAAUUAAAUGAGGAGGCCAUUAGCCUGAGGUGGCUCUAUAGCCACCUACAUAGCUGGUAGGUGCCACCUUACGUAGCAGCCUACGUAAGCAAACCAAAAUCUAAGCCUGUAAAUGCCUCAAGGUUAUGAAAUCAAAACCUAAGGACAACCAAUCACAAACAGCCAACCAGGCUUUAAGCUGUAGCCAAUCAAUAGCUUCCUUGCUGUGCUUCUGCCUUUACUUUAAAUUAAAGUCUCUCCCUGAGCUCCUGUUGGUGGAGUGCUCCUCAACACUUCAGGUUUGGUGCUGCCAGAUUGAAAUCAAUGUUUGCUCAAAUAAACUCUUAAAACUUUUAAUAUGCCUAAGUUUAUCUUUGAACAAGUGUAAAGAGAUAAUAUUACUUGUUUUCUCCACCUGAAAUGUAAAACUGUUAUGUCUGUAUAAAUAUCAAGAUUUGUAAUAAUUGUGGAAAGUUAAAGCAUGCGUCAGUGAUGGUUAUUGUUCAUUGGAUGAUUGUUGUUAAUCAAUUAUUAACAUAAUUUUUCUCUUUUGAUAAACUCAACUUAAAAUGAGUUUAGUGAGGUUUCUUAAAUUAUUUUCCAGGCAAAAGCUACAUUCAUUGUUCUACCACCAUCAAUUUCAGACAAUAUAAUUUCUGGUGUUAGAAACAUCAGCUGCAUGACUCCUCUCUGCAGUGGUAAAAAUAAAAAUGCUUUGGACAGAAUCAAAACUUACACAUAAAGCAGAACUUUGUUUAUAAUUUAUCAUCCUGUCAUCCCUCUGACACUUGCUUGGUCUCCCUUACAGCCCAGGGACCCAUGCUCUCCUCA